rnacentral:rRNA from 1 species
ACCCGAGGCUCAACCUCGGGCCUGCAGUGGGUACGGGCAGACUAGAGUGCGGUAGGGGAGAUUGGAAUUCCUGGUGUAGCGGUGGAAUGCGCAGAUAUCAGGAGGAACACCAAUGGCGAAGGCAGAUCUCUGGGCCGUAACUGACGCUGAGGAGCGAAAGCAUGGGGAGCGAACAGGAUUAGAUACCCUGGUAGUCCAUGCCGUAAACGUUGGGAGCUAGAUGUGGGGACCAUUCCACGGUCUCCGUGUCGCAGCUAACGCAUUAAGUUCCCCGCCUGGGGAGUACGGCCGCAAGGCUAAAACUCAAAGGAAUUGACGGGGGCCCGCACAAGCGGCGGAGCAUGCGGAUUAAUUCGAUGCAACGCGAAGAACCUUACCAAGGCUUGACAUAUACCGGAAACGGCUGGAAACAGUCGCCCCCAAGGUCGGUAUACAGGUGGUGCAUGGUUGUCGUCAGCUCGUGUCGUGAGAUGUUGGGUUAAGUCCCGCAACGAGCGCAACCCUCGUCCUAUGUUGCCAGCACGUAAUGGUGGGAACUCAUGGGAUACUGCCGGGGUCAACUCGGAGGAAGGUGGGGAUGACGUCAAAUCAUCAUGCCCCUUAUGUCUUGGGCUUCACGCAUGCUACAAUGGCCGGUACAAAGGGCUGCAAUACCGCAAGGUGGAGCGAAUCCCAAAAAGCCGGUCCCAGUUCGGAUUGAGGUCUGCAACUCGACCUCAUGAAGUCGGAGUCGCUAGUAAUCGCAGAUCAGCAACGCUG